UUUCGUAUCCUUUCAGGACCACGCCGGUCAGUACACACCACAGCAGUAGGCAGAGGGGAUGCUCUCAUGUGGAGCUGAUGUUGCCACAUGAGAGCUGAAGACGGAAGAUCUUCGGAGGCCAGCCAUGCUCAGCCCAGAGAUCACAGCUGGGGUCUCAAGGGAAUGAAGAGGUGGAGAAAGCUACUCCAAAAGGAUGGUGUCCAGGAACAUGGAAGCAGAAUAGGACCCAAGGAAAGAGCGAGCCUGAGACUUUGAGUCAGAGGACAUCUCAUUACCUCCAACACAAAUGUCACCGGUCUUGCUCCCACUUGCCUUACCAAACCUCCACCCCCUGCAUGCCAAGUCCUGUAUUUCUGGGAGUCUCCAUGUACUCCCCAUCAGGCUGGCAACGCCUCAGCCCCUGGAGCACAGCCAUUCCUCUAGGCCCUCCUCCAAGCUGUGCAGAAAUAAAGUGCAAGAGGAUAACUCACCUUCUCUUGUGG